UACGAAGGGGGCUAGCGUUGUUCGGAAUUACUGGGCGUAAAGCGCGCGCAGGCGGUCCUUCAAGUCAGAGGUGAAAGCCCAGAGCUCAACUCUGGAAUGGCCUUUGAGACUAGAGGACUUGGGUACGGGAGAGGUGAGUGGAAUUCCGAGUGUAGAGGUGAAAUGCGUAGAUAUCAGGAGGAACACCUGUGGCGAAAGCGGCUCACUGGACCAUAACUGACGCUGAUGCACGAAAGCUAGGGGAGCAAACAGG
rnacentral:rRNA from 1 species